GGACUACCAGGGUAUCUAAUCCUGUUCGCUCCCCACGCUUUCGCUCCUCAGCGUCAGUUACGGCCCAGAGAUGUGCCUUCGCCAUUGGUGUUCCUCCUGAUAUCUGCGCAUUCCACCGCUACACCAGGAAUUCCCAUCUCCCCUACCGCACUCUAGUCUGCCCGUACCCACUGCAGGUCCAAGGUUGAGCCUUGGAUUUUCACAGCAGACGCGACAAACCGCCUACGAGCUCUUUACGCCCAAUAAUUCCGGACAACGCUUGCACCCUACGUAUUACCGCGGCGGCUGGCAC
rnacentral:misc_RNA from 1 species